rnacentral:rRNA from 1 species
GACGAACGCUGGCGGCGUGCUUAACACAUGCAAGUCGAACGAAGUGGCGAACGGGUGAGUAACGCGUAAUCAACCUGCCCUUCAGAGGGGGACAACAGUUGGACACGACUGCUAAUACCCCAUACUUAAGGAGGAGCUUGCGUUUGAUUAGGUAGUUGGAGGGGUAACGGCCCACCAAGGCGAUGAUCAUUAGGCGGGCGUGGAGGAUGAAUGGGCAAAUUGGGACGGAGACACGGGCCAGGCGCCUACGGGAGGGAGCAGGGGGGAAGUGUUCGCAAUGGACGAAAGGCUGAAGGAGAAACGCCGGGGGAGUGAUGACGGCCGUCGGGUUGGAAAGCUCUGUUAAUCGGGACGCGGUACCGGAAUAGAAAGCCACGGCUAACUACGUGCCAGCAGCCGCGGUAAUUC